CUCGUUGCUAAACUGUUUGCAUUUAAGCCGUUGCUAAAUUGUCAUUGAUUGAUCAGGUUGCUCUGAUGCUUUCUGGAAUGGGGUCAGGAGCAGUUGAUGUUUUCAGAAUGGCGAGAUCUCGAUGGGAAAAGAGGCAAGCAAAAGUUUUG